rnacentral:rRNA from 1 species
UUCCAGACUCCUACGGGAGGCAGCAGUGGGGGAUAUUGGACAAUGGGGGGAACCCUGAUCCAGCGACGCCGCGUGAGUGAAGAAGUAUCUCGGUAUGUAAAGCUCUAUCAGCAGGGAAGAAAGAAAUGACGGUACCUGAGUAAGAAGCCCCGGCUAACUACGUGCCAGCAGCCGCGGUAAUACGUAGGGGGCAAGCGUUAUCCGGAUUUACUGGGUGUAAAGGGAGCGUAGACGGUGAAGCAAGUCUGAAGUGAAAGGCGGGGGCUCAACCCCCGGACUGCUUUGAAAACUGUUUGACUGGAGUGCAGGAGAGGUAAGUGGAAUUCCUGGUGUAGCGGUGAAAUGCGUAGAUAUCAGGAGGAACACCGGCGGCGAAGGCGGCUUACUGGACUGUAACUGACGUUGAGGCUCGAAGGCGUGGGGAGCAAACAGGAUUAGAUACCCCCGUA